GAUGAACGCUGGCGGCGUGCCUAAUACAUGCAAGUCGAGCGAACGGACGAGAGGCUUGCUUCUCUGAUGUUAGCGGCGGACGGGUGAGUAACACGUGGAUAACCUACCUAUAAGACUGGGAUAACUUCGGGAAACCGGAGCUAAUACCGGAUAAUAUUUUGAACCGCAUGGUUCAAAAGUGAAAGACGGUCUUGCUGUCACUUAUAGAUGGAUCCGCGCUGCAUUAGCUAGUUGGUAAGGUAACGGCUUACCAAGGCAACGAUGCAUAGCCGACCUGAGAGGGUGAUCGGCCACACUGGAACUGAGACACGGUCCAGACUCCUACGGGAGGCAGCAGUAGGGAAUCUUCCGCAAUGGGCGAAAGCCUGACGGAGCAACGCCGCGUGAGUGAUGAAGAUCUUCGGAUCGUAAAACUCUGUUAUUAGGGAAGAACAUAUGUGUAAGUAACUGUGCACAUCUUGACGGUACCUAAUCAGAAAGCCACGGCUAACUACGUG
rnacentral:rRNA from 1 species